rnacentral:misc_RNA from 1 species
CGGGUUUUGCAUCAGCGCUUUUGGAAAUACAUAGUAUUUACUUAUGGAGACCUCUCAGCAUCUUCUGGCUGUCAUCAUCAGUUUCUUUGUGGUUUUCCCAUUGCAUCUGCACGCGAAGCAGGACGUUGUGUUCAGGUACGGUCUGCUGGAGACAAGGCCGACAGAUGGCGCUCAGGGCCGACGCUACUGUGUCACCUACUUCCCCAAAGUGCACAACCUCACCAUGGACAGCACCAACACGACGAGUCACCCGGUGUCGGACCUGACCGAGUGGGACGGCUGCGGUCCGCCGCCGGCGCCAACGCCGGCCACCGCCGGCCGCUGGGUGUUCCUCAACCAGUCCAAGGCGGCCAACUGCUCCAUCGACCAGCGGGUGGCUAACCUACUGACGCUGCAGGCAGCCGGCAUUGUGAUCCAGGUCAACGAGUCGUACGAUGACCUGGCCGCCAGCACCAACAGCUCGCCGAUGCCCGUCACAUUCAUCAGCUGGCGCCACGUGCCAGCGAUUGUGAACGCCUCUCCGCCGGUGGAGGCGAUCCAGUACGGGAUCCCCGAGGAGACCCUGUUCAACUACGGGCUCAUCAUCAUCUGGGUCAUCGCCAACACCACCAUCCUGCUCGGGGCCAUCUGGAGCGCCACUGUCAAAUACGAACUACACACUCAGGAGGAGCAGGCGCGCCGUGACGGCCCGGCCGGCGGCCGCUCGGCCUCAGUGACCACCACCCAGCCGGCGGCCGGCGAGCUCUCCUCCACACCUGUGACGGUCAUCUCUGCCGUGGCCGCCAUCGCGCUCAUCAUCACCUUCCUGCUGCUCUCCUACUUCUUCCCCAAGGUUAUGUAUUACGUGGUGCUGGUGUUGUUCUUCAUCGGCUCUGUGUCCGGGGUGUACACCUGCCUGAGCGCCGUCAACGCGCGCAUGCCCUGCAGCUGCGACCUCGGACUGGCUCCGGCGGUGACGACGCGCUGCUGCUCGUGCCGGGUGCGCGUCUCCCAGCUGCUCCUGUUCGCCGUAUCGCUGGCCGCCGGUAUCGUCUGGCUGGUGUUCCGUGAUAACGACGUCUGGGGCUGGGCGCUGCAGGACGUGCUUGGAGUGGCCUUCACGCUAUCGCUGAUCCGCUCCUGCCGAUUGCCCAACCUGCGCAUCAUGACUUUCUUCGCCGUCGGUCUCCUCAUCUACGACAUUUUCUUCGUGUUCAUCACACCGUUGUUCACAGCUAACGGCAAGAGCAUCAUGGUGGAGGUGGCCACCGGUGGCGGCGACUACAUCCUGCCCAUGGUGCUCAAGGUGCCGUACAUCGUGCACUCGCAGUACCCCGAGUGCCAGUCGCCGCAGUCUUUCUCCCUGCUCGGUUACGGAGAUAUCAUCGUGCCGGGCUUCAUAGUGGCGUACUGUGCGUCCAUUGACAAGAUUCACGGUAUCGCCUAUCACGCCUACCUGGUCACGGCGGCCACAGGAUACGGCGUGGGUCUGAUUGUGACGUUUGUGGCGCUGUACGCCAUGGAGGCGGCCCAGCCGGCGCUGCUGUACCUGGUGCCGCUCACCCUGCUACCUGUCGUGGUGGUAGCGCUCAUCCGACGGCAGCUCAGACUCCUCUGGCACGGAGCCAAACAGCCGUCCGGGGGUGAGCUGAUUCGGGAGCACGCCGACUACAACUCCGUCUCCCCUGUGGAGGAGUAGGGACGCCGCUCACUAGUCCACCGUCCGCCUGUUCAUCGGACCGCCGCUGCCGGCUGUAGGAGCUGUCCGGGAGCGCUGGCUGGCUGAAGAAGGUGCGUCCCAGGUCACUGGGAUGCAGCGGGUGCGGUCCGAGUGUGCGGGAGGCCGCGGUCCGGCGGCUCCGGCUCUGAAUACCGCGGCUCGGCCGUCCCGUGGGUGCCGGCGGGCCUGGCCAGGUCGACCGUCUCGGUAUUAAGGCAGUGUCAGAGAGCCGGCAAGGUGAGAGGCCGUCCGCUCCGUCCGCGCUGCGCCCCUCCCGUCCCCGAUGUGCGCCGGACGCCGUUUGACCGACCUACGGAAAUGCCUGGUCAAAUGUUUACGGCCGCUACAAGCGCUGUGUCGGUCACAGUCCAAAACGGACACCGCCCAAUGGCCACUCAUCGCCAAACAAUGUCAGACAGCUGCGCUCUGAACCUUUUUUUAGGUUAUUUGUGCACUGUUGUUAGCCUUUUUACCCACCUAUAUAUCAUAAUUUUGGCUGAUUAACGUUUGAAUUGCUAUUUAGAUACUUAAUUUUGUAUAUUUUUCUCCUAUUCAUGGUGAAGCAUUAUGAAAAGAUGGGACUUACUGAUGUGUUACAAGGAAUUUUGAUAAGUUUUGCCCGCGCACAUGCUUCAGAACUGGUUCAAAGGGCAAAUUAGAGGCAGUGUGUGCUACAGUAGAAUUUUUAUGACACGUGGUGGUGUUUCUACGUGUUAAGGGCUUUAUGAAACGAGGUCCAGGUCGCUCAUUGUAUGGUGGCAGGGCGUACCAACUUCUUUGGUAAUGUUUAACAUUGGUAUCCAUUGACCUUUGUACCAUUUAAUAUUAUAACUAUGUAGUUCAAACAAUGUUGUGUGAUGUUUGUACUCACCGGUGGGGGCUGGUGUAUUGCGUGACUUUCGUAUAUGCCCGAUAUCUACUGGCUGAAGCCUGAAGCUGUAUAUUUUUCUCAUGAUACAAACGCGCAGCGAAACACUUCUCUUGGUUUUGGUUAUGUUCUGUCGUUACUUAACUUUUCGAGACAAAGUGCAAAAUUUCACAUCGCUCAAUUUUUUUCUGGUCGUCACAUGGAUAUAUUUUUAGAUGAGCCAAGUUGUAAACAUUUUUUUCUGUACUUUACUCUGGUUGCAGGUAGAGCGUAGGUAGCUCAAACAGCGAAAGUUGUGUUUGCAUUAUUCAGUUAUCAAAAGUAUAAUUAAAAAUCAGGCGUAGUUGUUCGUAGGAUCUCACGAUUUACCCUGUCCGCACGUUCGGAGUGUGAUCAUAAGAUAUUUUUUUGUAGAGAUUAGUGCCCACUGCAGUCGUAAACCUUUUCGCCUACCUACAGUAGACUGUUUUCCGACAUCUUUCUCAGAGUUUUUACCGUACUCUCUUGUGCUAGUGGAUGGCGUUCGUGGUUAUAUAAAACCACGUAUUACAUGAAACCAAAUACAUACAUGGUUGUUUUA